AGUCACACAUUAGAUACCCGCGUAGUCCCAGCCGUAAACUAUGCGCGUUAGGUGUAUCGGUGACCACGAGUUACCGAGGUGCCGAAGGGAAACCGUGAAACGUGCCGCCUGGGAAGUACGGUCGCAAGGCUGAAACUUAAAGGAAUUGGCGGGGAGCACCACAACAGGUGGAGCCUGCGGUUUAAUUGGACUCAACGCCGGGAAGCUCACCGGAUAGGACAGCAGAAUGAUUGCCGGGCUGAAGACCCUGCAUGACUAGCUG
rnacentral:rRNA from 1 species